rnacentral:rRNA from 1 species
AAUGAACGCUGGCGGCAGGCCUAAAACAUGCAAGUCGAACGCCUGUAGCAAUACAGGAGUGGCGCUCGGGUGCGUAACACGUGGGAAUAUGCCUAUUGGUACGGAACAGCUCCGGGAAACCGGAAUUAAUACCGUAUGGUCCCUUCGGGGUAAAGAUUUAUCGCCAAUAGAUUAGCCCGCGGUGGAUUAGCUAGUUGGUAGGGUAAUGGCCUACCAAGGCGACGAUCCAUAGCUGGUCUGAGAGGACGAUCAGCCACACUGGGACUGAGACACGGCCCAGACUCCUACGGGAGGCAGCAGUUAGGAAUAUUGGACAAUGGGCGCAAGCCUGAUCCAGCCAUGCCGCGUGAGUGAUGAAGGCCUUCGGGUUGUAAAACUCUUUAGCCGAUGAAUAUAAUGACUGUAGUCGGAAAAUAAGCCCCGGCUAACUUCGUGCCAGCAGCCGCCGCCG